rnacentral:ncRNA from 2 species
GUUAAAACAGAGGGGUGCCCGCCGAUUGCCGGGCUGAGAUCAUACCCUGUGAACCUGAUGCAGGUCAUGCUGCCGUAGGGAUUGUUUUCCACUUUCCG